ACACGUCUACAUUAGAUACCCGCGUAGUCCCAGCCGUAAACUAUGCGCGUUAGGUGUAUCGGUGACCACGAGUCACCGAGGUGCCGAAGGGAAACCGUGAAACGUGCCGCCUGGGAAGUACGGUCGCAAGGCUGAAACUUAAAGGAAUUGGCGGGGAGCACCACAACAGGUGGAGCCUGCGGUUUAAUUGGAUUCAACGCCGGACAUCUCACCGGAUAAGACAGCUGAAUGAUUGUCAAUCUGAAGGUUUUACAUGACUAGCUG
rnacentral:rRNA from 1 species